rnacentral:lncRNA from 7 species
GCUUCUGUCUUAGAGCCUCACACUCAAACUGGAUUUAUUUGGAUAUUGACAAACAGAGGGAAGUAACUGAAACUGAACAGGAGAAUCAGCAUAUCACCACAUGUGCAUUACCCAGUCGGAAUGUAUGAUCAGAAAGAUGACAAUCUACAAACAUUAAACCUCAACCACUGCUGUGCACAUUAGGCUCUGAGGAAUGAAGCAAAACAUGGACCAGGAAGAAGAAUUCAUCCCUUCUACAGAUUUAUUUGCUCCUCCAAGCACAAGAAAGCAAAUAUUUAUUUAAUCCUUUACGUGCUUGUAAGGAAUUACUUUCAGGAAGGCUUUCAUGAAUACUACCUCUCCAGGUGCUUAAAUCUACAUACAGACAGAUACUCUCCUCCUCCCACCUAUUGGCAUCCAAACUCAAGUCAAAAUGAAAUGAGACACAGACAGGAAGCAAAAUGUGGGAGGAGACACAAGCCUGCUGAACAGAAGCUUUAUUCUUGGAACUUUGCAAAGAGAUCAAUAUCAGGUCUGAUGACAGCAUAAAAACAAGAGUUAUGGAUCCAAGCUAAAUGAUAGAACGUGUCCUUGUGCACAGAUGAAGAAGGUUAGCCUAUUCCAUUCAUAUAGGUCCACUGAAUGUAUAAUCACGGGCCAGAAUUGUAUUUCAGUCCUGUGCUAAGUAGCACAGUACCUGUGCUAGUUAUCCGUAAACACACACAUCAGCAGUCUUUAGAAAGUACUGCUUUUCUUACAUAGUUUGCCUUGCGAAAUGCGCAGCGAGGUAGCUUGCAGCAAGGCAUAAAUGGUACACUGAAAUGUAUGGUAUUAGGAGGCAUAAAUAUUUUAGUUCUCAUUUUUCUCUACCACUGCAGAAAUAAUGACUUAUAGAUGAAAAAAUGAGUUUACUUCUCAGAUAAUUGUCUUUGGUUCAGCAGACUUCCACUAUUUGCAUUUAAGUGACUGUUUGGAGUCCCCCAGAUUGCAGACAGUGCUUCAUUUCACUGCUUUGGAUAUGCCUCAAUGAAUUUGAGGGAUGACGCCAGCAGAUUAAUAUGGCAAUCUAAGUAGCAGUGAACAAGGAAGUCACGGUUUCAGUAUGAAUAUAAAUAUACUCCAGUCUUGUAAGAUCUUGCUCAUGCAAGUUAGGCCCAUUGAUUUCAAUGAAACUAUUCAGACGAACCACUAUUCACACACUGAACAGUAGUGUGUUACACACUGUAUCAUGCUAUGUUCACAGCACAGUGAAAGAGUGUGCUGAAUUUCGGCUGGUUUGUGGUUGUUCCCUUAACACAGAGAACAGUCUUCAUUAACAAACUGGCAUUGCUGUUUUUUCUUUUUUCUUUUGGACCAUGGAAACUUUCAUGACAGAUGAUAGAUACAUGAUGAUACACACAAGGAUAACAAUGAUGUAUAUGGAUAGCAUUAAAUCUGGCACCCAGAACCGGUCUUUGCAAAUUAAAUAGGAUUCUAUUCAAUGUAAGUAUUUUUAUGAGUGUCAGUGUAAAAUUCUAGCUCAUGUCAAAAUCAUUCCAAUAUAUGGAUUUUAGCUCAGAAGUGAAUUUUGUUUCACAAAGUUAAUUCAUUCCUGCUUCUAUAUUCACCCAGAAUCAUGCCAUUUUUGUGAACCUUCUAAUUUCUAGACCUCCAUCAGACUAGAGAAAGCUGGGCACAGAACUACAGCGAGUUAGAAGAGUCUUGCUUUUAUGUCAAGCUUGGAAACAUGCUUGGUGCCCUCUCAUUCUUGUCCUUUCAAAACUGUCUCAUUAUGAAACCCACUGCAAAGCUGAGAGCUGUUGCAGGCUCAGCUGCAGGGCUGGGGCAGUGGGUGCCCAGCUGCUGGGGCCAGGCAGCAUUGGCAGCUCAGUGUGGGAAAGCAGGCAUGGCGCUGGCCCACACAAUGUGAUACCUGGCUCCUUUUCAAUCAGCACUGCUCACUGCUCCCUUUCAUGAAAGCUGCAAUUAUACUGGUUGCCACUUAAAAGCCAGUGUUUGCCAAGAGCUGUCACUGAGCUGCAUCUGAAGUACCAGAGCAUAAUAAGAAACAACUGUGGUAACUGCAUGAUACCUGUUGACAAAUGCUGGUUUUUAAAUGGCACCCACUGUAAGUAAGCCCUCAAAACCAGCUCUAGAUAUACCAGUGGGAAGCAAGCUGUUUGUUUUUUUCACAUAUCUUUCCAUUCAGUUCUGUCUUGGCAUGCAAACUGUAACUUGAGAGAACCAUAGGAACUUCUUUGGAAAGGAGGCUCUUGAAAGGCCCUUUUUCAUGUGUGAAACAUAAUUAUACAGAAGAUAUUCCCUAUUUCUUCUUCAGUGUAUUUAAAUCGAUCCACUUAAAUUUACUUCUUUUUUUUUUUUUAAGUAUAUAUAUAACUGCUAUUCAAAGGAAAUAACAAGAAGGAAACACAGAGAUUUAAUAAAGUGCAAGCUUAGAACC